rnacentral:tRNA from 1 species
GCGGGGGUGCCCGAGCAAGGUCAAAGGGGGCGGACUCAGGCUCCGCUGGCGUAGGCCUGCCCGGGUUCGAAUCCCGGCCCCCGCACCA